UUUUUUUUUUUUAAACUACGUGGUUUCGGUUUUCGAACAGCCUUCUGGAACGGAUUAUGGUCGAAAACCGAGGUAUGACUGGAAUUGUUUACAGUAUUAUUAACACUUGUUUUGAUAUAAGUACAGUGGUACCUCUACUUACGAACGUCCUUGGAUCAGUUCUUUACAAAACGCCAUCGGCAAAAACCACCUCUGAGAGAGAUCAUGGACUAAAGAGGGCAA